CAAGUGCGUAGAGCCACAAUAUGGCGGCGAGCAGAGCGCGCAGUGGGCGAGGUCUAAAGGAGGCGCGGGGGCGGGGCUGCAGAGCUCUUCCCCAGAGAGGGGAUGAAAGGACUUGAGGGUACCCCACAGGAAGAAAUUCCAAAGUGUGCCUUCCUUGGCUCUCAAAGGGGUUCUGCACUUGAGUGGUGGCAUCAUCUACCAAUCCAAGUGGAACCAAGCCCAAGUCCACAAUCCAGCGAGGAACUAAUGUAUCCAGCAUCAAGAAAGCAGUUUCAGGCAGAGCAGGAAGUGGAUGAAAGCCUCAAGGGAGCUUGGAUGGUGGCAUGGAGCAACCCACCCCCUCUCAGCUCUUCUAAUAGAUCCAGGUUUGUUGUAGGAGGACUCUUAUACAAGGAAUGGGCACAAGGAGGACUGGCAUCCUCAGAGACAGUUGGUAGUCCCAACUAAGAAUAGGGAAAAGCUCUUGAGCUUAGUCCACGAUCACCCUAGUGGCCAUGCUGGGUGAAUAGGACAAAAGACCAUCUGGGAAAGUCAUUCCACUGGGAGGGAAUGGGCAAGGAUAUUUCUACCUAUGUCUGGUCUUGUGAAGUGUGCCAGAGGGU